GUAAAUUCACGUGCGUCAAGAAGUGCCCUGCAGGAAUGUACUGUGAAAGUACCAACCGCCUCUGUGUUAACGACGAGUGAUGCAAACACCUGGUGUCAGAUUCAAGACAAGCCGAAGGAACCUCUGAACAUUUCAUUGUGCCUCUGACACUGGUUAUUAUUGACAGCUGAUCUGUAUAAAUGUUGGAUUAGAUCACGAAAUAAAUUGAUGCAUUGAA